rnacentral:rRNA from 1 species
GCGNGAGGGAUGACGGCCUAUGGGUUGUAAACCUCUUUUUUCAGGGAGGAAUCAAAUGACGUGUACCUGAAGAAUAAGCAUCGGCUAACUCCGUGCCAGCAGCCGCGGUAAGACGGAGGAUGCAAGUGUUAUCCGGAAUCACUGGGCGUAAAGCGUCUGUAGGUGGUCCAAUAAGUCAACUGUUAAAUCUUGAGGCUCAACCUCGAAAUCGCAGUCGAAACUAUUAGACUAGAGUAUAGUAGGGGUAAAGGGAAUUUCCAGUGGAGCGGUGAAAUGCGUAGAGAUUGGAAAGAACACCGAUGGCGAAGGCACUUUACUGGGCUAUUACUAACACUCAGAGACGAAAGCUAGGGUAGCAAAUGGGAUUAGAUACCCCAGUAGUCCUAGCCGUAAACAAUGGAUACUAGAUGUUGAACAGAUCGACCUGUGCAGUAUCAAAGCUAACGCGUUAAGUAUCCCGCCU